rnacentral:rRNA from 1 species
AACGAACGCUGGCGGCAGGCCUAACACAUGCAAGUCGAGCGCACCUUCGGGUGAGCGGCGGACGGGUUAGUAACGCGUGGGAAUAUGCCCUUCUCUACGGAAUAGCCUCGGGAAACUGAGAGUAAUACCGUAUACGCCCUUCGGGGGAAAGAUUUAUCGGAGAAGGAUUAGCCCGCGUUGGAUUAGGUAGUUGGUGGGGUAAUGGCCUACCAAGCCGACGAUCCAUAGCUGGUUUGAGAGGAUGAUCAGCAACACUGGGACUGAGACACGGCCCAGACUCCUACGGGAGGCAGCAGUGGGGAAUCUUAGACAAUGGGGGAAACCCUGAUCUAGCCAUGCCGCGUGAGUGACGAAGGCCUUAGGGUCGUAAAGCUCUUUCAGCUGUGAAGAUAAUGACGGUAGCAGCAGAAGAAACCCCGGCUAACUCCGUGCCAGCAGCCGCGGUAAUACGGAGGGGGUUAGCGUUGUUCGGAAUUACUGGGCGUAAAGCGCGCGUAGGCGGACUAUUAAGUCAGGGGUGAAAUCCCGGGGCUCAACCCCGGAACUGCCUUUGAUACUGGUAGUCUUGAGUUCGAGAGAGGUGAGUGGAAUUCCGAGUGUAGAGGUGAAAUUCGUAGAUAUUCGGAGGAACACCAGUGGCGAAGGCGGCUCACUGGCUCGAUACUGACG